UACGUAGGGUGCGAGCGUUAAUCGGAAUUACCGGGCGUAAAGCGUGCGCAGGCGGUUCGUUGUGUCGGCGGUGAAAGCCCCGGGCUCAACCUGGGAAUGGCCGUUGAAACUGGCGAACUGGAGUGUGGCAGAGGGGGGUGGAAUUCCGCGUGUAGCAGUGAAAUGCGUAGAGAUGCGGAGGAACACCGAUGGCGAAGGCAGCCCCCUGGGCUGACACUGACGCUCAGGCACGAAAGCGUGGGGAGCAAACAGG
rnacentral:rRNA from 1 species